CAUGAUAGCCGCCAUUCUAGUCAAUCAGACCGAAUGACAUAGCAUGUUUGCAGAGCUGAAGAAAUUGCUUCAUGAUCUUAAGGAAGAGGGAACCUUGCUUCAUGAUCUUACAGUUUGUAGAGUUUGCAGAGCUUUUGACAUUGAAAUCAGUGAGGAUAAUACAACCAAAGGACUCCUGGAUACCAUAGCUGAACUCAGGUACGCCCAAAAGAGGGUUCUUUUCUUUCCCUGGAGAUUUUCAGAAUUGUGGUUUAUGGGAUUUUGUACGCCUACUUGCCAAUUUAAUCAUAACAUUUGCAUAGUGGCAGAGUUUUAACCGUCACCCACACAAUUUAUCAUGAUGAAGGUUACUUUGCGUUCACCACUUUUAUGUGGAGAAGUGUCCUGUUGAUGGAGGGUUGUGUAGAAAUAUCUGUAUUAGAUGGAAAGUGACGUUAUGAUGUUCAAGCAACUAAAAACCAAUGGAGGAUUAGCUUCUACUUGCAUUGAAAGCACUUGUUAUUUGGAAUAUCCAUGUAAGGUUCUUGCUUGCAGCUUCAUUCAGACCAUUUCAGUGUCAAGUCCAGAGAGAGAGUCAUCAUGUUUGGUCACGGUAGUGAGCUCUUACAUCUUGUUGCUCGUUUCAAUUCAUAUGUGAAAAGCAAGCCGUAUGGCUCUAGCUUUCUUGUUGUUCGAUGCAUCCUUGGGUAAGGUGAUGCACCAAUUUGUUGAUCGACAAAUAAUAUUGUAAGACAAGCCUGAUUGUUUAAUAAAUCUGAGUAAUUGAGCAUU